rnacentral:rRNA from 1 species
UUGGAGGGCAAGUCUGGUGCCAGCAGCCGCGGUAAUUCCAGCUCCAAUAGCGUAUAUUAAAGUUGUUGCAGUUAAAAAGCUCGUAGUUGAAUUUCGGAAUUUUUUUAUCGGUUGAAUCAACAGGUUCGUACUGAUUUUAAGAAUUUCUACCUUCUGGAGAACCUUAAUGUCAUUAAUUUGGUGUUUUGGGAAACCAGGACUGUUACCUUGAAAAAAUUAGAGUGUUUAAAGCAGGCUUAUGUCUGAAUAUAUUAGCAUGGAAUAAUGAAAAAGGACGGCAUGGUUCUAUUUUGUUGGUUUCUAGGAUCACCGUAAUGAUUAAUAGGGAUAGUUGGGGGCAUUAGUAUUCAAUUGUCAGAGGUGAAAUUCUUGGAUUUAUUGAAGACUAACUUCUGCGAAAGCAUUUGCCAAGGAUGUUUUCAUUAAUCAAGAACGAAAGUUAGGGGAUCGAAGACGAUCAGAUACCGUCGUAGUCUUAACCAUAAACUAUGCCGGCUAGGAAUCGGACGAAGUUAAUUUUUUAAUGACUCGUUCGGCGCCUUACGGGAAAC